AUUGGACCGCCGAGAGCAACGUUCCAUUUUGGUUCCACAUGGCCGAGGUGCUCUGAAAGUUUGUAGCAGAGAAACUCCACUUUACUCGACUCACUGUCAGGUGACACUGUAGCAACAUGGAGGGGAGAUUGCUCCUGGUGAUCCAGCUCUGAUAAGAUCAGCAUGUUACAGUGAAUCCUCGAUAAUAACGUGGCCUGAUUGAGGCUUGUUUGGAGUGUAAUCCGAGCCCACGGAGCUGCCUCUCCGGUGGGAAACGUGGGCAGAGCGCCGUCAAACAGCGUUUAAAUGGGGAUGUUUCACUCAUAUGUUUGGGCACAGAGCUGACUCCAUGUGGGAGUUUAUUACAAGGGCGCGCCAGAUAUCAACUUGUCACGAUGUUCCAAAUUUCCUUUGUGUCUCCAGGCCUCCUUUAUGAGCAGCUUGCAAAUGAAUUUGUGGAUGCACCCAUCAAGGAGCAGAUGCACACGGUAACCCAUAGGUGCGGCAGACCAAAGUCCAUUUAACAAGAGAGAGGAUCAGGUAUAAUGUUGUGCACGUUGAGGGGGAUCACCGGAGAGACACACGAGGCCUCGUUAAUUUAUGAAGUGACGAGCAUAAUUAGAGACAGGGUUUUGUAUAAGAAUGUCUUCCAUUAAUAUGCAGCUAUUAAAAGAUGAAAUCUGCAUCCCACAAAUUACACAAACUAUAUUCACAAUAUUCAGAUGCUUGAUAGACAAAAUAUAAAUGAUCCAAACCAGCUGUUUAAACAUGAGGCAAUGAAACAGUUCGUCUCUUCCAUAAUUUCCAUUUAUUCUUUCUUUAA